rnacentral:tRNA from 1 species
GCGAACGUAGUUCAGUGGUAGACCCCCACCUUGCCAAGGUGGGGGUCGCGGGUUCGAAUCCCGUCGUUCGCU